AAUCUACUCCUUAAGACAACUGUAGGCUCAUGGUGGCAAUGUUAGUCCAUUGUAGUUUGUAGUGCAUGGGGAAACUCCCUCCAUGUUGUUUCACCUCUUUUUAUCUGUUUUAAUUUUUGUUCAUAGUUUUGGUUUCCAGCUACUUGCAGUGUUUUCCUGUGUGCUUAAUACAACUGCACUCCUGGGAUGGAACUUAAAUCUUUUUGACAUUCUACUUUUGUGAUUAAAAAGAUGUGUGUUUUGUAAAACCCCAAUGUUUGUUGGACAAAAAGAAACCAAUUAUAUCUCUAGUCACAAAUUGCACCCUUUUAUCUUGAUGCAAAACCUUACUUUAUUAAUUAUAUGUGGGAACUACGCUCUUUGGCGGUGUAUAAUAUUUUGAAACCUGUACAAUUGUCACUUUUUGCAUGAUGUAAAAUAAAAAAGGAACAAAAAUCAAAUAUCAAAUCUAAAAAGAUCAAAACUUUAGUUGACUGCAAACACUGCAUUAUGUGUCAGGGUUAACACUGUGCAGACACCUCCAUGAUUACAAUCAACACUUCUGUGAUAUGAUAACCACCUGAUGAAAAUACUACCCAUAAAUACUUCUUUCUGGAUGCCAUCCAUCCAUCCCACAGUGCAGUUCUUAGUUUGAGUUUGGGUGUGGCUUUUAUUUUGGGUUGUUGCUUCCUUCUCUUCACAGUAAAAUCAGCCAGGUGAUCAUAUACCCACCUGCUCCCUCCGUCUCUCGGGAGGACAAUAACCCGCGAGGCAGCAAAAGAGGUCUUCCUCAACAACCAGGCCUGCAGCCGCUAUCAGAGGCAGACAAGCAGUUAAAAGUUAAACAAUUAAUGGCUAAGAACAAGUUAGCUGCAGCUACAGCCAGUAGUGAAUCCUGAAGAAGUCCCAUGCAGCUUCCACAAUUUUGUGGGAAAUACAGAUUUGAUGCCACCUGAGAUCAUAUAUUUCACAUCACCAUACCAUACCAGUGCCAGCCUAGGUCAAGUUGGAUUGACUGUGAGAACAUCUUUGCUUAAGGCCACACAGAAAGCAUGCCUUUCUGAAGAUGUAUUCUUGAUACCAAUGUGGGAUGUUUGGUACCAUGAAGGAGGUGUGUCUGGAGGUCUAAAGAACUAUUGUUAUCAUUCAGAUGUCUGUGUAAGGAGGUGGCUCUGAAGUGCAACAAAGUGGCAUUGUACCUGUAUUUCUAGGAGUGCGGAAUGGGAAACAAAUGGCAUCUGUAUUCUCAGAAUUGUGGAAUGGGAAACAAGUUGCAUCUGUAUAUACACCUUGAACUUAUGGUUAUGUAUCUUAGAAUUGAUGCUUGUUGACAAGUUUCCUUAACGACAUGUCAUUAAAUGUAGUAUUCUACUUUGUAAUCUGCAGUUUUUAUUGCAGCAUAAGAUGAAACUGAUAUCGGCUUCAGUGAAGAAGGCGUGGAAAUGUUAUGGCAUAUACUUACCUCCCUGUAUUUUAUAGGGAUCAACAUGUCUAUUCUUUAAAACAUUAAAAAAACCUGAAAUUUGCAAGUCUUUUCAAGUUGUCAAAUGAUCCAUUGGUUACAUUUAAGGCAUCUAUUCACAUACCAGUGUCUUGUUCUAAACUGCUCUCAGCAUAAUUUACAAGACUAUAUUCUCAGUGCUCACAACCCUGGGGCAGGGGAUGGUUCCCCUGAGAUUGUAACCCCAACACAGCCUGCUGCUUCUUCUCAUGCUGCCAUAUAAACUGUAUUAGAUACAUGAUAAUGGUAAUAGUAAUAAUGAUAAUUAAGUCUGUGGCUUCAGAAAUAUUGUGUAUCAUAUGCCAUUGUAGCUUUUUAUCUGGGAUAAAGCAGAAUAAGCCCACUAUGUUGAUUUAUGUACAUUUUGAAUAAUUGAAUUGGAAUGUUUAAAGACAAUUAUGUAUGUAUUAUUGUAGAUAUUUGCAUGUGGUUUUUUGAUAGAAGUUUGUUGCCAGGUGUAUUAUAACCUGCUGGCUAGAGUAGGAAUUAAGAACUUGCUUAUUGUUAGAUCAUAUGUGGUUAUGAAAUGGAAAUGUGACUUGGAUAAUAAUUGUGCAAUGUUUUUUCUUUUUUUAAGUAUUAGGAAUAUAAUUGGCAAGGCAUUCAGUAUUGAAUAGUUUUAGCAUAUAUCUUGGUGUAAGGCAAAAUUCCUUUUUUCCUGUGAAUGGUGACAUUACUUGUAUAAAGAUUAAGUGAGUUGAAAGUUCUUAAAAGGGAGGGGGGGCAAGGGGGGCAUGGUUAACUGUCAAGUGUCAAGGCUGUCUCUGAGGGAGGAUUUCUUAAGGUGGAUGACCUGUUGAUUUGAAAAAAAAAAAAAGACCUAAAAUCUGGUUUGGUCAUACUGGAAGACCAUAAAAUUCAAUGUCCAGUUAAUUUUAAAUGUAUCAUCUCAGUCAGAUAAUUCCUUCGUCUUAGUCCAGUUUCGAGGUUUUGAUGCUGAGAAAAGUGAAUAAUAAUAAUGGAUUGUCUGCUUUGUUGGAGGGAGAAAAAGAAGGCUGACAUGCUAAGCAUGAUGGCAUAAGGGAAGUUGGAAUAUGAAGUUAGGGAAACCCAGAGUUUGAGAGCUGUAGGCCACCAUUGCGGUAUUUCGGAUAAUUGGGUCAAUUUACUGAAAAAUAACAUAGUAACCCAUUUAUGUUAUAAAAGAGGUGGUUUGAUAUUUAUGCACUCUCGGCCCUGGGAGAGACCUAGCAGUGGUACAGCAUCAAAGCAAAAAGAUGAAGAUCUGAAAUCCGAGUUCUGAAUGUCAGAAGGUCUUUCAGAUGAUUUGAGUGAAAUUUUCCAACUGAUCUCAAUUAAAAGUAAUAUAAAGAAGCGGUACCUGAGAUGGGGAGGGUUGACACUGACUUUGGGCUCUUUUGUUGUUUAGAUAUUUCUUUGUUUCUUAAAACUCUAAAAAUGUGAAAUGUCCAUCCCACCGCUGCCACCGUUGAUGUUCUAAAGAUGGCUUUUAGUUUGUAUUUUCCGCUUUAUAACUACGCAUAGGGUUUACUUUUUUUGUGGGAGGGGGUAGAGGGCAUGGGAUCUAAGCAAAUGAAUUAUAUCUAAUCCAAAUUGGCUAGUUUUGAUUUUUGCCAUUGUGCUAAAAUAUGAUAUCAAUAAGUGAUGAGGUUUGUAAAGUGCAUAGAGAAGUGUGUCAGUGCUAGUGCAGUUGAUUAAAUUAUUAUGCCUUAACAAUGUAUGUACAUAUGUGUAAGUUAUUUAUUAAUUUUUUCACCAAGUUUUAUUUUUCUGUGAAUGGUUAAUCAUAACAUUUAUGUUGCUCAUGCCAUGACAUUGCAUUUGCUGUGGCGAGGUAGCUAGCUUGCUGUGCCUGUAGAAUGAUGUGUGUUUUAGGUGAUCUUGUUUAGACAAUAGGUGCAUUCACACAUGGACUAGUUAGACCUGGAAUUGAUCUCCACUAUGUCAUCCGGGGACUAGUUCACAAAGCGGUCACAUUCUCUUUGCCAUCUAGUUGCCUGGUGACACCAGUAAGACCAAAUGUCAGUCUAAAGUAGUUCUUGUGUGAACUGUUCUGAUUACGUCAUAGAUCAGUAGGAACUGUUUGUUUUAUUUCAGGCAGACGCUUAUUUAUCAAAAGUUCAGCUUACGAUAUAGUCCUCCAAAAAUAUCAAUACUCCUAUUCGUCAUUUUCUGUAGUUUACACAA
rnacentral:lncRNA from 1 species